GGAGAGUUCAUUUUGCCUAAUAGUCCAAAGUCCCUGUUUCGUUUGUUUCAAAAACCAAGGGCCAAGGCCGUUUAAAAUCAUAAGAAUAUCUAGUUGAGGAUCCAAAGUCCUUUACUCGGUCCCUCUAAUACUUUGUCACUUUGCAUAUAAAUCUUUUUUUUUUCAUUCUAAGGUUCUUUACUUUUUUGUGUUGGACAAAAUUCGCAACUGCGCCACCUAAGAUUGACGAACAAAAUUGUAUCUGUCCAUUUUCCGUGUCAACCCGUUUUCAUUCCUAUAAUUAUUUGUAUGGGCUCAUUUUGUUUGAAUGGUCAAGAAAAGAUAAUGAUACUAAAUGGACCUUGGGUCAUCCCGAGAGUACCUUCUAAAGCCAACCGUAUCUCCACUUAACGAAUUGAUACGAUUGAUCGGUGUGGAUUUGAAAGAUAUAAAAAAAUAUGGUUAAGUAUGGCAUGCGGCUCAGCUUGAAGAACCCAGGACUAGAACCUCAUCAUCAGCAUCAGGAGCAGUGCCGGUCUGAGAAAACUUUGGGCUGGAAGCAAAUAAUCAUUAUGGGCCUAUUAAUGUUUUUUUAAAAAUAUUAUAGUACAGGCUAUUUGAACCUCUCACCUUAUGUUACUAAAACAACAACGUUUUACCACCUAUGCUACUGACGCUUUAACCAAAAAACCGGCCGAUAUUUAGAUAUUGUAAAAUGGGCCGGAAGCACAUGCUUGUACCGCUUCCGCCCAGGGUCGGUACUGAUCAAGAGAGCCCAUUUUCUCUUCCUCUCGGAACAGUAAUUAGUACCUCAGAUGCUUCGUGGCUCCGCGACUCCCUAAAUGCAGGUCUAGGAUGGUGUCUCAUCCUCCGAUGAGGGGAUUGGGAAAAUCGGGGGUUUCAAAGAGGAUACAUCAUGUUAAAUCACCUUUCUUGGCUGAAGUGAUGGCAACAUGAGAAGCCGCCGCGGAAGCUAACUGUCUCUCCAUCCUAAACGUCUGGUUCCCAUUUGACUCUCAAGAGCUCACUAGAACUAUAAACUUAAAAUCAUAUUCAGCGGCGAAGCUUUUUAAAAUUCUCAUAGAUAUCGAGUUUCUAUCUUUAUUUUUUUCUUUCAUUGCUUUUUUGUUUAUCCAUAAAGAGUAGAAAUAGAAUUGUGU
rnacentral:lncRNA from 1 species